CCUACGGGUGGCAGCAGUGGGGAAUAUUGGGCAAUGGACGCAAGUCUGACCCAGCAACGCCGCGUGAAGGAAGAAGGCUUUCGGGUUGUAAACCUCUUUUAAGGGGGAAGAGCAGAAGACGGUCUCCCUUGAAUAAGCCACGGCUAACCACGUGCCAGCAGCCGCGGUAAUACGUAGGGGGCAAGCGUUGUCCGGAUUUACUGGGUGUAAAGGGCGUGCAGCCGGGAAGACAAGUCUGAUGUGAAAUCCCGCGGCUCAACCGCGGAACUGCGUUUGAAACUGUUUAUCUUGAGUAUAGGAGGGGUAGUCGGAAUUCCUGGUGUAGCGGUGAAAUGCGUAGAUAUUAGGAAGAACACCAGUGGCGAAGGCGGAUUGCUGGACGACAACUGACGGUGAGGCGCGAAAGCGUGGGGAGCAAACAGGAUUAGAUACCCGGGUAGUC
rnacentral:rRNA from 1 species